CGUACGUCUACGAGAGGUUAGUUAGUACUACUGGCUCAGGAUGAACGCUGGCGGCGUGCUUAACACAUGCAAGGUCGAACGGAGUUUUUAAAUGGAAGCCCUCGGGUGGAAGUUUAGAAACUUAGUGGCGGACGGGUGAGUAACGCGUGGGUAACCUGCCUCAUACAGGGGGAUAACAGUCGGAAACGAUUGCUAAAACCGCAUAACAUAGCGAAACCGCAUGAUUUUGCUAUCAAAUAUUUAUAGGUAUGAGAUGGGCCCGCGUCUGAUUAGCUAGUUGGUGGGGUAAUGGCCUACCAAGGCGACGACCAGUAGCCGGCUUGAGAGAGUGGCCGGCCACAUUGGGACUGAGACACGGCCCAAACUCCUACGGGAGGCAGCAGUGGGGAAUAUUGGACAAUGGGGGAAACCCUGAUCCAGCGACGCCCGCGUGAGUGAAGAAGUAUUUCGGUAUGUAAAGCUCUAUCAGCAGGGAAGAUAAUGACAGUACCUGACUAAGAAGCCCCGGCUAACUACGUGCCAGCAGCAGC
rnacentral:rRNA from 1 species